rnacentral:rRNA from 1 species
GAUGAACGCUGGCGGCGUGCCUAAUACAUGCAAGUCGAGCGAACGGACGAGAAGCUUGCUUCUCUGAUGUUAGCGGCGGACGGGUGAGUAACACGUGGAUACCCUACCUAUAAGACUGGGAUAACUUCGGGAAACCGGAGCUAAUACCGGAUAAUAUUUUGAACCGCAUGGUUCAAAAGUGAAAGACGGUCUUGCUGUCACUUAUAGAUGGAUCCGCGCUGCAUUAGCUAGUUGGUAAGGUAACGGCUUACCAAGGCAACGAUGCAUAGCCGACCUGAGAGGCGGAUCGGCCACACUGGAACUGAGACACGGUCCAGAAUCCUACGAGAGGCAGCAGUAGGGAAUCUUCCGCAAAGGGCGAAAGCAUGACGGAGCAACGCCACGCGAGUGAUGAAGGUCUCCGGAUCGUAAAACUCUGUUAUUAGGGAAGAACAUAUGUGUAAGUAACUGUGCACAUCUUGACGGUACCUAGGCAGAAAGCCACGGCUAACUACGUG